AGGGCAGCCAAGUCGUGAGGCGGAGCUAAUCCCUUAAAGCCAUUCUCAGUUCGGAUUGUAGGCUGAAACUCGCCUACAUGAAGCUGGAGUUACUAGUAAUCGCAGAUCAGAAUGCUGCGGUGAAUGCGUUCCCGGGUCUUGUACACACCGCCCGUCACACCAUGAGAGUCGGGAACACCCGAAGUCCGUAGUCUAACCGCAAGGGGGGCGCGGCCGAAGGUGGGUCCGGUAAUUGGGGUGAAGUCGUAACAAGGUAAC
rnacentral:rRNA from 1 species